CAUGCAUGUCUCAGUACAAGCCAAAUUAAGGUGAAACCGCGAAAGGCUCAUUAAAUCAGUUAUGGUUCCUUAGAUCGUACCCACAUUUACUUGGAUAACUGUGGUAAUUCUAGAGCUAAUACAUGCAAACAGAGUCCCGACUGGAGACGGAAGGGAUGCUUUUAUUAGAUCAAAACCGAUCGGCGGCGGGAGUUUAACGACUUUCGUCCGCCGUUUUAAUUGGCGAGUCUGAAUAACUUUUUGCUGAUCGCACGGUCUAGCACCGGCGACGCAUCUUUCAAAUGUCUGCCUUAUCAACUGUCGAUGGUAGGUUCUGCGCCUACCAUGGUCGUAACGGGUAACGGGGAAUCAGGGUUCGAUUCCGGAGAGGGAGCCUGAGAAACGGCUACCACAUCCAAGGAAGGCAGCAGGCGCGCAAAUUACCCACUCCCGGCACGGGGAGGUAGUGACGAAAAAUAACGAUACGGGACUCAUCCGAGGCCCCGUGAUCGGAAUGAGAACACUUUAAAUCCUUUAACGAGGAUCAAUUGGAGGGCAAGUCUGGUGCCAGCAGCCGCGGUAAUUCCAGCUCCAAUAGCGUAUAUUAAAGUUGUUGCGGUUAAAAAGCUCGUAGUUGGAUCUGUGUCUCGCGCUGUCGGUUCACCGCUCGCGGUGCAAACUGGCACGCCGCGGGACGUCCUGCCGGUGGGCGGUAACCCAGCGGGAUUUGUUGGACGGUAACUUGAUGUGUUCAUCGCGCAAGUGGUGGCCAUCGGUCCGUUUGGCACCCCGUUUGUGGUCCGUCCGACUUUUUUAAAAUCCUGUCGCGGUGCUCUUAACUGAGUGUCGAGAUGGGCCGGCACGUUUACUUUGAACAAAUUAGAGUGCUCAAAGCAGGCUAAAAUUUCGCCUGAAUACUUAGUGCAUGGAAUAAUGGAAUAGGACCUCGGUUCUAUUUUGUUGGUUUUCGGAAAUCCGAGGUAAUGAUUAAUAGGGACAGACGGGGGCAUUCGUAUUGCGACGUUAGAGGUGAAAUUCUUGGAUCGUCGCAAGACGGACAGAAGCGAAAGCAUUUGCCAARAAUGUUUUCAUUAAUCAAGAACGAAAGUUAGAGGUUCGAAGGCGAUCAGAUACCGCCCUAGUUCUAACCAUAAACGAUGCCAGCUAGCGAUCCGCCGACGUUCCUCCGAUGACUCGGCGGGCAGCUUCCGGGAAACCAAAGCUUUUGGGUUCCGGGGGAAGUAUGGUUGCAAAGCUGAAACUUAAAGGAAUUGACGGAAGGGCACCACCAGGAGUGGAGCCUGCGGCUUAAUUUGACUCAACACGGGAAACCUCACCAGGCCCGGACACCGGAAGGAUUGACAGAUUGAGAGCUCUUUCUUGAUUCGGUGGGUGGUGGUGCAUGGCCGUUCUUAGUUGGUGGAGCGAUUUGUCUGGUUAAUUCCGAUAACGAACGAGACUCUAACCUGAUAACUAGGCGUAUAUUAAACCGGUAUCUCAGAGGUCGGCGGUUCGGGGUAAACGGCCGUUUUUCGGGCCGAUAUUGGUUGCGGAUGCGUUAUCCGGGCAACCGGGUGCGUGUUCGUUGCCAUAUCGGUUUGUUAAUGGUCGCCCUCGCUGCUUGUCCGGCUUUUACUACCGGCGUACACUAAAUUCUUCUUAGAGGGACAGGCGGCUUUUAGCCGCACGAGAUUGAGCAAUAACAGGUCUGUGAUGCCCUUAGAUGUUCUGGGCCGCACGCGCGCUACACUGAAGGAAUCAGCGUGUCCUCCCUGUCCGAAAGGACCGGGUAACCCGCUGAACCUCCUUCGUGCUAGGGAUCGGGGCUUGCAAUUAUUCCCCGUGAACGAGGAAUUCCCAGUAAGCGCGAGUCAUAAGCUCGCGUUGAUUACGUCCCUGCCCUUUGUACACACCGCCCGUCGCUACUACCGAUUGAAUGAUUUAGUGAGGUCUUCGGACCGGUGCGCGGUGACGUUUCGGCGUAACCGAUGUUGCUGGGAAGAUGACCAAACUUGAUCAUUUAGAGGAAGUAAAAGUCGUAACAAGGUUUCCGU
rnacentral:rRNA from 1 species